AGCAAAAACAGUUUCAAGAGAAAUUAUAAACGAAGUUAACAUAUGAACGUAAAAAUAUAGUGCAGAAAACAGUUUUUUUCUUUUUAACUGACUUCAGAAAAGGAGGUUCUCUAUUUGUCUUUUUUUAAAUUUUUCAUGUAUGUUUCUCGUUUACUCGAAGACACUAGGUGCGAUCCGCAAAAUUAUUUUUUAUGCGAAAGGAAUCUUUUAAAUUGUUGAUACACAAAUUGUUUAUCGAUUCAGUAGUUGAGUGAGCAUCGAGCCUGAACAACGCACAGUGGGAACUCGCCUAAGAAAACCAUCUCAUAAAUACUUUUUCUAAAACUCCGUGGAUAUACAUGUAUAAUACCUCAAAUUGUAGCUAAAGAGUUACUCUAUCAUUAUAAAUAUGAUUCAAUCUCUGUCUAUUCAUAUUUCAUAUAAUAGAGCAUCUAAAGUCAAGGAAUAAAAAAAAAUCAAAUAUAAUUAUGUAACUUAAAUUCGUUUGGUAUAAUUUUAUAGUAUCAAAACAAUAGAAGUCAUAUAAUGUGAUACCAUUUUAGAAUGCUUAGAGUGUGUACUUUACUACAAAAUAAAAAUAUAUUUAGUUUAGUAAAAUAUUACCUAACCAAAUAUCCAUAUAUCGUUAUAUGUACUAUUUUCUUUUCUCAAACUUUCAGUUGGAGAUUUGACAGUUGCCAAAGCUUACCGAAGUUCUGAUUUUGGUUUUAUUUAUUAGGAAAUAUAAUGUAAUUUCAUAGCAAAAAACAUUUGCAGUUUCACUGCGUAAUAUAUUUAAAUCUAGUAUAAUAUCAUGGUGAGAUUUUUUUUCUAAGUACGUAUAUUAAGAUUUUUUUCUGUAUUUGAGAUUCUCUGUCUGGACACUCAAAAAAAUACUCUUGGCUCAAUUAUUACUUUAUAUUUUAUCUUUUGCAUUACUCUUAUCAAGUAUUUCACACAGUAUUUAGAUUCCAUUCCCAUACAGACCUAUUCUAUACCGCAUAACCGCAUAAUAAUGAUAAAUAUUUUUUAUCAAGUAAUUUUGCACACGUUAUUAAGUAUAAAAUAGUGCAUUUUCAUAUGAAAUAUUACAGUUCAUAAGCAUUUGUCAUUAUUAAACAAUUGUUAAUUACUUAUCUUUCCGCAAUGAGUGAAUUCUCGUGUACCAGACGCGACUUAAGUCUCUUAUUGAUUGAAAGUGAUACAAAUUAUGUUGAUUCUAUCUCAAACUAUAUACGAAAUAAUUUUACCGAAUCUUCAGAUGCGAAUAUAGCAAAAACUAUCGCAAGUAUUCAGAAGUCCUUCAUAAUUCAGUUUCGUCAACGCUAUACGAAAUGUGGUCGAAAGAAAGAACAGUUUUUAAAUCAAAAUAGCAAUUGGUUGGAUGGCAUUUUCACUGUAAAUCUAGAAAAAACUACUUGCGAACCUGAACCUUCUACUUCGACAGAGAAAAGAGGAAGACCUUCUAAAACGUACGAUGACAGUUCAGAGAGUACAAAGAAAUGGAAAAACAAGGGAUUGCUUGAUACCUGUGGACUUGAUUUCAUACUGAACUCAUACGUACAGGGUUUAAGGUCACGCGGUGAAGUAGAUGGAGCAUUCAUCGUUGAUAUUUUACGAGCAUUGCCGGCAGAAAAAAAGAGUGAAAUGCGCAGUAAUCUUCUUAAUGAACCGGCACAUAUAACAGCAUAUUCAAAAGAUGAUGCUCUUAGCAUUUUUAUAGAAUUGGAUUAUCAGGAAAAAAAAUCAUGUACAUAUCUUUAUUAAUACGGAAAUUAUAGAUUUAUGAGAUGAAAAUGAGUCAAAGUUCCCACUGUGCAACGGGUUAACUUUUUUUUUUUUUUAUUAGUGUUCUAUGUAAUUACGCACACAAUGCCCCUUGACGUAUCUAUAUUUGAUUAUUUAAUAAAUAAAAUGAGUUUUUGUGCAUUAAAAAUGUGCAAAAUUUGUAAGACAUAAUAAAUAUAGAAGUUACAAAGGAAUCACUCAACUAUUUAUCACGCAAUGUUGUAUGAAAAAGUUGACCCGCUUUUCUAGAAGCAUUUGUAUGGAGACACUAUGUAUAUAAUUUAAGAUAAUCACAUUGACUUUUAAUCAUGUAACAGAAGAUCCUUUAGUAGAACUUCGGGUUCAUGUACUAUUUCUAGGUAAUUUAAUAUUUGAUUUAAUGGUAUCGGCUCUAUUUUGUUGGUAAUUUGUAAUCUUAGACUAUACAGACAGAGCAUCGGGUAUCAGAUACGUGUGAAAAUUUAGUCAAUUUAUUUGACAUUUGACUGAUGAUUUUUUUUUUUUUAAUAAAAAUAAUACUCUUUUUUUUCCAAUGUUGCAAGUAAUUGAAUUUAAAACUUCCAAAACCAGGUCGAUUCUUAAAUUUGAAUUUAAACUAUUUUUUUUCUGAUACAAUAAUAUAAAUGUGUUUUAUUUAUUUUUUAUUAUUAUAUAUGUAUUAAUUAAAAUGGCAGCCGUUUUCAAUUGCUUAAAAACGAAAAUAUAUUUUUAUAAACAUAUUAUAAAUUGAAGUGUUCAAUAAAAAUAAGUAUCAUUAUGAGUCAUUAUGCACUGAUUUUAUCUUGUUUUUUUCAAAUACGAGUAUAUUCGUAAGAAUUUUGUAUCGUUUUUAUUUUUAAAUUUUUUUCUGAAAUAUGAAUCUCCGCACUUAGUAUUCAACUGUACAUACUGGUAACCCAAUUUAUGCAUACAUGGAUAAAAAAGUUGAUCUGUUUUUGGAGAAGUAUUUGUAUGCAUACACAAUCUAUGUAUUAAAUCUAAGUUUGUUACAUAUUUUAGAGUUUGAUGAUUUAAUUUUUAAAUGCAUUGUCAAGUGUCAAAAAACGGUCAGCCAUUUGUUGGCUGUAAUAAAAAAAUGGCGGCAUUUUUUAUGUUCCAGAUAAUAAAUAUAAAAGUUUAAAGAAAAAAAUGAGUUAUUAGUGAAUUGCUUAUAGACAGACAUUCUAUCUUUUCUUUGUUAGUCCUUACGGCUUGGCUGAAUUCACAAAAUUCUUCCUGUUUUGCUACAUUUUAAUAUAUUAUGUAUAAUUGUUAAUAUAUUUGUAUAAUUAUUAAUAUAUUUGUAUAAUAUAAAACAAUAUUACUUUUGUUUAUUAAAGGGAACUAUUAUAAACAGUUUUAUAAUUUAUGCGAGUCACCUGUAGAGAAAUUUUAUGGUUUGGAGAAAUGUAUUAUCGUUGAGAUAGAGUAACUUUUACGUUUUAUUACACCUAGCAACACUGAUGUCUAAAUCUGGAGCUAAUAAGCAUCUUUAAAUGAGUAUUAAUGAUGCAAAGAAGAUCAAUAGUAUCUCAACUAAAUAUUGUAUUUCAAAUAACAUUAUUUGAAAACAAUAUUUAUUUGAGCUAUUAAUAAAUGUAACAUAAUCUAAUAUAUUUAGUCAAUGUCAAGUCUGAAACAUGUCCAAUUUUGCUUGCAAUAUUCUAUAGAACAUCGCCGACUAUUGAUUGUCAUUGCAAUAUUAUUGUGCAGUGCAUAAGGUACAAAAUAGUUGUUGAAUCAAUCAAGUUUUCUUAGGUAUAUAUAUUUUCGUGUCGCUUGGCAACCGAAGUUAGAUUUUGGUAAUGUUUUAAGAGAGACGCUAAUGUCCAUCCCUCAAGGGCAGGUCAUUUCUAUGCCAAGACCACACGGCAAAUUUCGUGUCUUACAAGUACAUUCUUAUUAAGAAUAAACUUAUAUACUAGAAUACAUUAUCAAAUUUUAUGUACAGUUGUGAUGUCGAAACGUGGACGGCCGCUGCUUCUAUACAACAAUUAUACUUACUCCAAGUAUCCGUACCCUCUGAAGACCGGUCUGCGUUGGUACUGCUCCAAGGUGAAGAACUGCCGAGCGUAUCUCUUCACCACACACGACAACGUUGUACUGAGGGCGUACGGCAGCCAUGCACACAGCCCUACCGAAAGCUUCGAGCCAAGUUUAGGAAUACCAAUCAAAGGCAGUUAUUACAGUAGCUGCCUUUAAGAUCGUUUGUAACUUUUGCUUGCCGAAGUAUGGCAACGUUGCAUUUAUUUAUUAUAAACGUUACUUUUAAUAUAUAUUUAUAUAUUAAAACAACGAUAAGCAUUAUGAGAUAUAGUAACUAUUAAGUAAUUUGUAGCUAGAGCUGAUCUUGUUGACUCAAAAAAUAUUUGAAGUGUUUUUUUUUUUUUUAAUAGGCUUAUUGUGUGCUUUGCGUAGGUCUACAGAAAUUUUAUUCCAAAGGCUGAUAGCAGGUGGUUUAUCUGUUAAUUUUCAUAAAUAUUUUGUCUAUUUUCAAUAUUUCUAAUUGAUUAUUUAAAAAGUAUUUUGUCAGAAAAUGUUCUUUAGUGACAGCUUAAUAAGAAUGUUUAUUGCAUGAUUAAUGUCGUAAUUCGCUAGCAGAAGUUUUUAAAAUAAUGAUUAAAAAAUAUACAAUGUUACAUUAUUGUUAUACGUUUCGUAAGCACACUUUAUAUUUUAAUUUAAUAACUACCGGUUUAAUUUACGUGUUAUUAGAUCGAGAAAGCUCGACUGGUUUCGGGACCAAUUCGUGACCCUUGAUUACACGUAAAUUAAGCUAGUAGAUUAAAAUAUAAACAUAUAAUAUAACAAUAUUAAUUUGAAAAUUGACAGUUAUUUGCGAUGUUGCCAUACUUCCUUAUGAAUUCUCUUAAUUGAUAUAAUUAUAUGUGAUUACUUAUUAAUAAUGAAAUAUUGUAUACUUAUUAAGAAAAAGGACUAUGUAUAAAAAUAAUCAUGAAAUAAUUAUUAUUUGAUAAUGUUAUUAUUUUGAGAUGUAUUCAAAGUUGUAAUUGGGGCCAAAUUCAAUUGCUACUGUUUUUACCAACCAUUUUUAAGCCCUAUUUGUCUUUAUUACUCGUAUUUUUAUAUGAGUUUUAAUAUUUGUAUAGAAUGUUUCUGGACGUACCCACAUAUGAUCUUGCCCUCGGUCCUUCUGGAACUUAUUCCAAGCUAUACAUAGGAAAAACUUUAUCGUAUUUUUGUAAGCAUUAAGUUGGCCCAUUUAAUGGAAAAAGCCAACAGUCGUCUGCAAAUAAAAACAGUACACAGAUUUGAUUGAAUCAGGUCUUAUGAAAUUAAAAUUGUUAGUUCUAAGAUUCGAUUUAUAAAACUUGUAAACUUUAGUUUUUUAAUUAUGAAAUAAAUAUUAACUAAUCUA